rnacentral:rRNA from 1 species
GGGUGAGUAACACGUGGGCAACCUGCCUGUAAGACUGGGAUAACUUCGGGAAACCGGAGCUAAUACCGGAUAAUCUAGAGACUCGCAUGAGUCUCUAAUAAAAGAUGGCUUCGGCUAUCACUUACAGAUGGGCCCGCGGCGCAUUAGCUAGUUGGUGAGGUAACGGCUUACCAAGGCGACGAUGCGUAGCCGACCUGAGAGGGUGAUCGGCCACACUGGGACUGAGACACGGCCCAGACUCCUACGGGAGGCAGCAGUAGGGAAUCUUCCGCAAUGGACGAAAGUCUGACGGAGCAACGCCGCGUGAGCGAUGAAGGCCUUCGGGUCGUAAAGCUCUGUUGUUAGGGAAGAACAAGUAUCGUUCAAAUAGGGCGGUACCUUGACGGUACCUAACCAGAAAGCCACGGCUAA